AAUAAAUACAAUAAACAACGAGGCUAUAUACAGGGGGUACCGGUACUGAGUCAGUGUGGAGGUUAUAUACAGGGGGUACCGGUACUGAGUCAGUGUGGAGGUUAUAUACAGGGGGUACCAGUACUGAGUCAGUGUGGAGGCUAUAUACAGGGGGUACCGGUACAGAGUCAGUGUGGAGGCUAUAUACAGGGGGUACCAGUACUGAGUCAAUGUGGAGGCUAUAUACAGGGGGUACCAGUACUGAGUCAGUGUGGAGGCUAUAUACAGGGGGUACCAGUACUGAGUCAGUGUGGAGGCUAUAUACAGGGGGUACCAGUACUGAGUCAGUGUGGAGGUUAUAUACAGGGGGUACCAGUACUGAGUCAGUGUGGAGGCUAUAUACAGGGGGUACCGGUACUGAGUCAGUGUGGAGGCUAUAUACAGGGGGUACCAGUACUGAGUCAGUGUGGAGGCUAUAUACAGGGGGUACCAGUACUGAGUCAGUGUG
ensembl:lncRNA